UUCAAUUGGACUUUCGAUCUUAAUUUAUGCUGCUAUUUGAUGUUCACCAGAUGGGCUUCGGUAAACCGUAUUUUGGUCCUUUAUUGGUCUUAUUAUAAUUCCUUUUGUCCUGAACCGAUGCCAUUUAUAGUUUCCUAUUAAACCUCCUGUUUAAUAAAAAAAUUAGGGGGCAAUGUUGGGUCGUGAUAUUUCUCCCUUUG
rnacentral:lncRNA from 1 species